GACGAACCGUGCGAACGUUAUUCGGAAUCACUGGGCUUAAAGCGCGUGUAGGCGGGCCGGCACGUCGAGCGCUGAAAUCCCCCGGCUCAACCGGGGAAGGGGCCUCGAUACGACCGGCCUGGAGCGAGGUAGGGGGCGCCGGAACUCACGGUGGAGCGGUGAAAUGCGUUGAGAUCGUGAGGAACGCCCGUGGCGAAAGCGGGCGCCUGGACCUCCGCUGACGCUGAGACGCGAAAGCCAGGGGAGCGAACGGG
rnacentral:rRNA from 1 species